rnacentral:rRNA from 1 species
UACGGAGGAUGCGAGCGUUAUCCGGAUUUAUUGGGUUUAAAGGGUGCGUAGGCGGUCCGUUAAGUCAGCGGUAAAAUUGCGGGGCUCAACCCCGUCGAGCCGUUGAAACUGGCAGACUUGAGUUGGCGAGAAGUACGCGGAAUGCGCGGUGUAGCGGUGAAAUGCAUAAAUAUCGCGCAGAACUCCGAUUGCGAAGGCAGCGUACCGGCGCCAGACUGACGCUGAGGCACGAAAGCGUGGGGAUCGAACAGG